rnacentral:rRNA from 1 species
CGGAUUGUAGUCUGNAACCCGACUACAUGAAGCUGGAAUCGCUAGUAAUCGCAGGUCAGCAUACUGCGGUGAAUACGUUCCCGGGUCUUGUACACACCGCCCGUCACACCAUGGGAGCCGGAAAUGCCCGAAGCCAGUGACCCAACCUUAGGGAGGGAGCUGUCGAAGGUGGAGCCGGUAACUGGGGUGAAGUCGUAACAAGGUAAC